CGUCAACCCCAUAACUUUCAGUCGACGUAAGAAAUUUUUUAUGGCCGAGAAAUUCGCAAAUCCUCGAAUUUGAGGCCGUUUUAGGGGUCCUUUGAGGUCGCACGAGUGAGGAUUUAAAUUCCAUGACCUCGGGGUCAGGGUGAAUGAGGUUUUGAAAUGAGUGGUACAGUCUGUCAACAAUCCACAGAACCUCUCUCUAGGCAGCUCAGUGGGAGAUUAAACUGGUAACAGGAAGUCUGGAUUUGCCUGUAUUGAUAUGUUUUCCCGGAAGUAUGGAGUUCGUUGAUGUCAGUUGACUGAGGCAAGAAGGUAGCGCCCCAUUACUUGAAAUUAUAAAGAAAAUAUUAUUUAUGAAUAUUAUAUACACCUAGAAGAUAGUGAUAUUAUACUUCACUGUUAACAAAUGCUGUUGAAUACUUACUUUUAAGCAGUUUUGUAGGUGGGAAACGUCCUAUUUAACACUUGUUCGUCACAUACAAGCGCCAUCUGACGUUCCUUUAUGUCAUGUACGCAGCGAAAACUGUCAAACCUUUCGUUUGGUGGUGCGAUUCCAUUUGCUUUGUCAAAGUAGAUGCUGUCUUGACAAGGAAAACUGGUAUCUUUAGCGCCCUCAUUUGUAAGGGAUUCAGAACUAGACUGUUGGAAGCUGUUAUAUCGAUUAAUAUAGCUCUAUCCUAAGUUAUUAUUAUUAUAAUUAUAUAUAUUGUUGUUGUUAUUAUUAUUAUUAUUAUUAUUAUUAUUAUUAUUAUUAUUAUUAUUAUUAUUAUUACUGUAAAGUAUUUACUAAGGCUACCAGGCAAUAUUUCUGCAAAGUUAACUUUUCUUGAAUAGUGGAAAAAAAGAGAUAAUUGAAAAAUGAGUAACAAUGGCUAUGAAUAGUAAAUAUAUACAGUAUGAAUAUAUCGCUAAAUAAUACAUGAUAAGAAAUCUAAAGCAGUAACCUUAAAAACUAUUCAUUGAUUCAGGGUUUAUCAGUGCAAGGAACAAAAAUUCAGGACUGAGUAGUGCGAGAACGUGGUACUGCAUCAAUUGAUGAUGGAUGAUGCUGUGUAGAUCAAGUAACAAACACUAGUUGUGGGGACGCACUGAAAUCGAUAACGAGGCCUCAAGAUCGAGGGACAGAUGGCCAAGAUGAGCUCGGAACUUUCCGUAGAGUAUCCCAUGAAGUGUGAGAUGGAAGAGCCGUUAGCCCUCCCUCCUUCGGUCAAUCGUGAAAACAGGGAUAUGGUUGGCUGUAGUGCAGCUGCUAAAGAUAGCUCGGCGUCCUCGGAAUCGUUCGUGGACGUCAAGCCGGAGCCGGAGGAAUUCUACGAGUCGGACGAAGACUACGCAAAAUAUUCGAACAAGCGGAGCUCGCCGGAGGACAGCGAGGAAGAGAGGGAGCGCCAGUCUAAAGAGCGACCGUUUAAAUGCACCGAGUGCGGGAAGGUCUUCUCCCAGGAAGUUUAUCUGGAGUAUCACACGAGGACCCACACUGGAGAAAAGCCCUUCAAGUGUGGGAAGUGCGAGGUCGCUUUCUCCCAGAAAAUCCAUCUUCGAUACCACAUGAAGACUCACUUCGACGAAAAGCCGUUCAAGUGUGUGAAGUGUGGGAAAGCUUUAUCCCACAAAAUUCACCUCAAAUAUCACAUGAAAACUCACGCCAGAGAGAAACCGUACGUUUGUGAGGAAUGCGGAAAAGCUUUCAACCAGGCGUAUUUCCUGAAAAAUCAUAAGAAAGUCCACGCUGGCGAGAAGCAAUUCACGUGCGACCAGUGUGGGAAAGCCUUUAAUGAAGAAAGUGUUCUGAAAAACCAUAUGAAGGUUCACUCUGAUAAGACUAGUCAGAAGUGAUGAACCUACAAAGGUAUAUUUAGUAAAUAUCAACUUACACGGCAUGGGGAUACUGUAGUCAACUAGAGUUAAAGUUAUGUGAAAUACAGGGAAGCCUAUUUUCCAAAAAAACUGUCUCACAAAGCUGGUGAAGUUUAGCGCUGGAUACAGUACAAGACAUUUGCCCGAGAUCUAACAGAAGAAAAAGCUUCGUUCUUCAUGUGAAGGGUGGUGGCCGGAAAAACUUUUGAAGCUAAAAAUGGAAGUUGUAAAAUUAUUUUCAUACAUUUGUAUGGUAUUCCAUUGUGUGAUAAAUAAAGUAUUUUAUUAAAGUUAGUUGGCGCUUUGUAGUUAUGGUGGAUAUACAAUCCUUUCCGUCACAAAUGUGUCCUUGUGGUAAGGGUCAUAUUGUUGUGACAGUAGAUUGUGAUGGUUGAAUUGAACAGAAGAGGAAAAGACCCCUGAUAGUGAGAUUGGUUGCACUGUAUUUAUCUUUACUAAAAGUAGGCUUAAUGAAAUGAUUUAAUCAUUAGAUGUUCUUGUGAGAAAAGGGGUGAUGUCAUAGAUCUUAUCCAAGUCGAUUUGAAACGGUCGUAAGCACAGGAAGAUGUGCAGAACUACGCAAGAGAGAUGUAUGCCUUGUAAACCUUUACGCAUCAAAAGUUUUUUGUGGUCCUGGAAUAAAGAUCUUCAAGGCAUACUGGGAAUAAGAGUGCUUUUUCCAAUGAAGACUAUUUUGGACCUUACCUCUGUUAUAAUGGCUCCUCUUACAAAAUGAUGCAGCCACCUUGAAUGAGAUUACACCCUGCCUGGAAAUCACCAUAGGUAAUAAAAUAUGGAAAAUAUG